rnacentral:rRNA from 1 species
GUAGGUGGCAAGCGUUGUCCGGAAUUAUUGGGCGUAAAGCGCGCGCAGGCGGUUCUUUAAGUCUGAUGUGAAAGCCCACGGCUCAACCGUGGAGGGUCAUUGGAAACUGGAGAACUUGAGUACAGAAGAGGAAAGCGGAAUUCCACGUGUAGCGGUGAAAUGCGUAGAGAUGUGGAGGAACACCAGUGGCGAAGGCGGCUUUCUGGUCUGUAACUGACGCUGAGGCGCGAAAGCGUGGGGAGCAAACAGGGAUUAGAUACCCUGGUAGUCCACGCCGUAAACGAUGAGUGCUAAGUGUUAGGGGGUUUCCGCCCCCUUAGUGCUGCAGCUAACGCGUUAAGCACUCCGCCUGGGGAGUACGACCGCAAGGUUG